AUUGAACGCUGGCGGCAGGCCUAACACAUGCAAGUCGAGCGGAUGAAGGGAGCUUGCUCCUGGAUUCAGCGGCGGACGGGUGAGUAAUGCCUAGGAAUCUGCCUGGUAGUGGGGGAUAACGUCCGGAAACGGUCGCUAAUACCGCAUACGUCCUGAGUGAGAAAGUGGGGGAUCUUCGGACCUCACGCUAUCAGAUGAGCCUAGGUCGGAUUAGCUAGUUGGUGGGGUAAAGGCCUACCAAGGCGACGAUCCGUAACUGGUCUGAGAGGAUGAUCAGUCACACUGGAACUGAGACACGGUCCAGACUAAUACGGGAGGCAGCAGUGGGGAAUAUUGGACAAUGGGCGAAAGCCUGAUCCAGCCAUGCCGCGUGUGUGAAGAAGGGAUUCGGAUUGUAAAGCACUUUAAGUUGGGAGGAAGGGCAGUAAGUUAAUACCUUGCUGUUUUGACGUUACCAACAGAAUAAGCACCGGCUAACUUCGUG
rnacentral:rRNA from 1 species